rnacentral:misc_RNA from 1 species
UAGUAGUGGUAUAGCUGCAACGCCGUCUCUCUCGUCUCCCUCUCUUUUCCCCCUUUUCUCUUCGCCUCUUCGCUGUAUAAUCUACGCAGAAUUGUGUGUGCUUGUUCCACCUUGACGCGCGAACGAAGUAGAGAAGAAGUGCCCCCUUCCUUCCUUCUUUCCUUUUUUUUUGUAGUUGUUUGGGUCUCUUUCUCUGUCUGUGCAUCCGUGAUCACCGUCUUCGUCUUGUGUCUGUUGCCUGUGCAACGAAGCCACCAAACCUCUCCCCCUUCUCGUCACGUUUCCUCCAUCCCCUUUGUGGAGGAAAGUUCGACGCAGAGUACAAGGCGCGCGCCAGUAAAGAAAGGCGCUCGUAUCACAAACGACGAGAGAGGGAGAGAGAGAGCAGUCGACGCUGUUGCUUAACCCCUCCACCCUACCAUCCCCUCCCGCGUGUGAGGGAUUCUCUUCUUUUUUUUUCCUGUUGUCGCUUCUGUGUGUGUUUAGCGCAUUCUCGUUUUUUUCUUUUUGUCGAUUUCUGUGUUUUUCUUUGUGCUCGUUCUAGGACGUUGCUGUUGUGUUGUGGCGUGCUCUCUUCGUGUGUGUGUGUGUGUCUGCCUGGUUUAGACUGUUCGUGUACGUGGCCCCGAUACGAUUUGCCCCCUCUCUCUAUAGCUAUCUGUGCGUGUGUGUGUGUGCGUGUGCUUUCCUUCUUUCUUUUUUCUUUUUUCUUGCCUUCUGUGUCUUUGUUAUUUGUGUGUGUGUGUGUCUUGUCGUUCCGUUUCUUCUUCCUUUUUCCCCACCCCUUCUCCAUCCCUCCUCCUCUUGUUGGUGGUGCGAGUGUCUCCGUUUUCAUAUAUAUUUCUCUAUUUCUUCCUCCUCCUCCUCUUGCCCACGUAGCAUCCAUCGAGUGAGGGACGGCGUGCCCGCGUGUGUGCUCCGCCCUUCCCCUCCUUUCUUCGCCUCUUCUCGUUUCACGUGCAUUGUUUUGCAGCUGUUUCGGUUUCUUUUUUUGGGGUGCGCCGACUGUAUUUUGGCGUUGUUGUUUUCAUCCGUGUGCCAUAGAAGACGGUGCGUGCGUGUGCGUGUGCGCAUCUAUCACACAUACACACACGCUGAGAAAGAGGGAGAAGCCAAGAAGGACAGCGUGCGAUCGAGUGGGGGUGGCCGAAGGGCGUACUCCACACACGACAAAGGGAGGGAACGAAAAGAGCGACGAGCAAGCAUUGCCGUUCUCACGGCACUCUCCCUCCUGUCUUUUCACGCGUUGCCUUGAUUCGCCGACUUCGACAGACCCACAUCCGCACCCACGCACAUACAUAAGCAGGUGAGAUGUUGUAUGAUCGCGUGAACGACAUUGGCAGCUCGCAGGGGGAGGCGAUUCGCUACAUCCUUGGUGCCGUCUCCAAGAACACCGUACAGACAACGCUGACGACGCUAGAGCAGUUCUGCUCCCGCUCUGUUGAGCUCCACCGGUACACGAUCAAGGCCACAUGCACAGCCCUGCUGGCAGCGCGGAGCGAUGAGCGGGCACUGCUGGCAUCUCGGUUGGUGGGCGAGGCACUUGGGCGGCCGAACGGGCUGACCCUGGUUGCCUGCGCCCUCGACGGCUGCUCCUCGACCCUGACAAAGGAGUCCCUCACUGCGUUGAUGGCGAACGACCUCAAGUUGUCUCCCAUGAAACAGAUGCAGAUGGCCAUGGCACUCGUGCUUGGCGGAAACGCGAUGGUCAAGACGGCAGCGACGGAUAUACUGGAGGACUUCAACGUGCCUCAGGCGGCGCUGAAGGAGGAUGAUGGCGGCGUGCGUGCGGCGGCGCUCCUGUCGCGGCAGGUAGGUCUUGCCCCCGAAAACCUGGACGGCCAGCUGGCGAACGUGUGCCACACGGUCGCGUUGCCGAAGCCGAAGACAGAGGUGAAGCCGCGCGUGAGCGUGGCGGGCGUCCUGCGCGAGCUAGGAACGGGGUGUGUGACGACGCUGGCGGACUCGCGCGAGCUGCUCAGCAUUUUUCCGCACUCCUUCACAGAGCGCGACGGAGCCGAGGUGCUCGCCUUCUUCGCUUCUGCGGGCUCGGCCGUCAACGACAGCAGCACGUACGCGUCCCUCAUGACGGCGUCAGGGAAGAGCUCGCCAAAGAGCAUGAGCGGCACGACGACGCUCGUGAACGCGAUGCCGCUACUCGACGCGCUGUGUGAGGGGAGCCCGAAAGGCUUCAACUGGGACCUUGUCAUCCGCAUGCUUGACCAGCCGGACGGCGAGCCGUUCCGCGUGAAGCACAUCUCCGUCAUCUUUGACGCGUACCACCGCUUCCAGCCGGAUAACGAGUUCCCGUCUGUGGCGUUGUUUCUAGGCAGGUGGACGAACACGAUGCGCCAGCGCAGCGUGCUCGAAUAUAUCUUGCGCCACCCCGACAAGGUCAAUCGCAAGCCGCUCGCGAUAGACGCCCCGUCGGAGCUGUUGCCGGCGACGAAGCCGCCCGGCGUGACGACAGCUGAGAUGGACUUAUGGCGCUCCACGGCGUUCAUGGAGGCUGCCGUGCACGUGGCGAGUCGCGAAAAAGACUUCGAUAACGACGUGUUCCGCCCCGCCGCGGAGAAGCUGUCGCUGCUCUUCUUGUACUGCCUCUUCACAGGCAACUUCCAGGGCACGGUUAAGCAUUUCACGGUCAUGAAGCACCUGCUCAAGGCUCACUGCCCCUCUCUGGACCUCGUGUCGCAGCACAUCGUGCCCGAGAUGGAGAGGCGGGGCCGACUCAGCACCGUGAUCGGCGUGCUCUCGGACCUGACGGAGGCGGCUCCAGAGCGUCUCGUGGAUAUGCUGCAGGUUGUGUUCAAGUGCAAGCCUGCCGCGAAGCGCGUGCUCGCCGAGAGCGGGAGCCCUCGCCUCGUCACUGCUGUCGCCAUGUGCAUGGAGGAAGCAGGUGAGUCGAGUGACAAGUGGCUCCAGCGCGCGCUGGAGGGCAAGCUGCACUUCCGCGCCAGCUCCACGGAGAACCGCUUCGCCGUGGCCAUGAACAUCGUCGAGGUAGCUGAGAUGCUCCUGGAAAAGCAGCUCUACACGGUGAGCGCGACAGCGGCUCUCAACGCCCUGCUCGCUUCCCCGCUGAAGGAGGUGCUGAAGAGCGUGACGGACUGCGCCAAGGCGCUCCUCGCCUCGACGGACUCUCUCUUCCCCGACGACGUCGAGAACGAAGCGCUGGAGUUCUUCAAAAAGAUGUACGCCGCUGGCAGCACCGCAGCUGCCAUUGCCACUGUUGAGAACCUGCUGAAGAGUACAGUGCCACGCGACAAGCAACUCUAUGCGUGCAUCGUGGGUAUCAUGUUCGAUGAGACGUCCGCCAUAAGCUGCUACCCGCGCAAGGAGCUGCAGCUGUUCGCCGAGUUGUACGGCCAGAUGAUCGCGAAAGAUCUGCUGCCGCCGAACCAGCAGCAGCGCGCGUGGGGUGUCCUGCUGCCAGCCGUCGCGAAGCCCGGCAACUACGCGAUGGAGGAAUACGGUAUUAUCGCGCUCGAGCAGGUGAAACCACGGCUGCCGGACUGGCCGCAGUACGGUCGCGCUCUGCGCUACGUGCGGGACUUGGAUUUCCGCGUUCCCGGCAUCGUCGCCGCCAUCAACCGAGGGAUCAAGCAGGAGGACGCCGCUGCGCGUGGCGGCGCAGCGGCGUCGGCGGAGCCCGGUGAGGGAAGCCCAACCUCGCCAACGUCCCCGAAGCAGCCUGGCUCGCCGAACAAGGCGCUCGCUGCCAUCGACCCGGCCAUCGUGUCGGCGGCGUCGUCGCAGUCGAAGAAGUUCACGGACAUGGCGGCGGCGAAGCUGCACACGCUGGACAUCGGUACACUUGUGACGAACGCGAACGUGACGGCCCCGCCGCGCGUGAUUCAGGAACAGAUCAACUUCCUGAUUGGCAACACCGACGUGCGCAACCUGGAGAGCAACGCGACAGAGCUGUCACAGUUGCUGCGGCCGGAGUACUACGAGUACUUUGCGGACUACCUGGUGGUGAAGCGCGCGGCGCUGGAACCCAACUACCACUCUAUGUACAUUGAGCUGAUUGCGAAGCUGCACUCCAAGGACAUGGAGCGCGCACUGCGCAAGGCCACUAUCGGUGCAGUGCACCGUCUGCUGAGCUCGCAGAAGAUCGGCACCGACUCGAGCGAGCGUAUUCUACUGCGCAACCUUGGCUCCUGGCUCGGGAGCAUCACGCUGGAGAAGAACAUCCCCAUCUUGCAGCAGGACCUGCACUUCAAGUCGCUCCUCUGCCAGGGUAUUCGCGAGGGAAAGCUAGUCCCGGUCGUUUCGUUCAUUACGCGCGUCCUGACAAGCUGCGCCAAGUCGCGCUUUUUCUGCCCGCCAAACCCGUGGACGAUGGCGCAGCUGGUGCUGCUGAUGGAGAUGUACACGCUACCCCACCUGCGUGUGACGCUGCGCUUCGAGCUGGAGCUGCUGCUGAAGUCGCUGGAUCAGUCGAUGCAGGACUUGGCGCAGUACAUGCGGCUGCAUGCCUCUCACGCCUCCACCGAGACGCGCCUGCGCGACGUGUACGAUGAGAUCAACAUCAACGAAAGCCCCGACUUCCGCGUCGGUGAGGAUGAGAGCAACGUGUCUGCGGCGGUCGUCGCAGCGCAGCCGGCGCCGGCUACCGCAUCACCGCCGAUGCAGCAGUCGCUGCGUAGCAGCGCUCGCCCGCUGCAAGCCAGCGCCGAGCCGUUCCAGCCCAAGGACAAGGCGCAGGCCCCGCCGUCCGAGGUGAGCCGUGUCAUGCAGAUGCUGAACAAGCCGAUCCGCCCUCCGAUCGGCAUCUCGCUGAACUGGGUGUUUUCCACGCUUAGCGAUCCCGCCUUUGGCAACAAUGCCCAGCGUCUCACUGAUCAUCGGCUCGAGAUUGUCGCGCAGCUGCAGGCCGUGGUCGACGAGGCCGUGAGCUACUGCAUGCAGCGCAGUGUCGCUAUCGCCGCCCGUACGACGGAGAGGCUGGUGCUGAAGGACUAUGCGCGCGACCCGUUCCCCGAUGACAUGCUCGUCGCUGGCGAUGCCAUGGCCCGCUCACUGGCAUCUAGCUUGAGCUACGUGAUGGUGCGCGAUGAGCUGCCGCUGCUCCUGCACCGCUCCAUGACAAACCUGCUGGAGCGGAUUCUGGCCCCUUACACCCCACUGGAGCACAAGGCAACAAUUCGCGACACCCUGGUGGCGCGCAACCUGGAGUUGUGCAUGCGUGCAGUGGAGUACAGCGUCGGUGAGGAGGCGGCGACGGCUACGAGCCGAUUCUUAUUCGACGUCGCGCGCGAGAAGGCCAGCGCCUUUGCGGAGCAAGAACCUCUGCCACUGCCGCCAGACCAGCUCGAGGCCGCGGAGCUGCUGCGCGUGAUGGGUGAGACGCUCGUGCCGUCUGGCCGGAUGCCGGCCCCGCAGCGGGAUGUCUACGAUGACUUCUACAGCUGCGUGCCGCCUGUGGCCGUGUUCAACAUGGUGCUGCGCAGCGUCGAGGAGGCGGUGUCGCGGUACCACUCGAACGAGAACGCCCCGCCGCUGGACUUUGCGCAGCUUGAUGCCGCCAGCCAGAAGCCGGGCGGUCUGACUGAUGACGCGCAGGCCCCCAUCCGUCAGCACCUGGGCCGUCUCAUGAGCCUCAUCACGGAGGAGUCGAGCCCCUACUUCCUCAGCCCUAUGCUGAACAAGCUCAUGUCCCUCGCCGUAUCGACGGAGCGGCUGACCAAGCUGGUCAACAGCAGCGCCAAGAACACGCAGGCCGCUGCUGCUACCGCCGCCGCUGCUGCCGCUGUCACCAACCCCGACGGCACCCCGAACGCGGCAGAGGACCCGGCAUGGCAGCAGGAGGCGCUGCGCAUCUCCGCAGCACUGCAUCAGCUGUACCUGCGCAUUGUGCUACGGUGCCGCGAGUGUGGCGAGGAGACGAACCGCGACGAGUUCACGCGGCUGUUCCUGCGCCACAGCCACUGCUACUCCUUCUCGAAACUGACGACAGACCUCAUCCGCAUCAAGGUCCUGAAGUGCAGCGAGUUCGAUGACGCCCUGGCGAAGGCGCUGACCAACGGCACGUCCAACUACGUCACCUUUGCGGGUGACAUCAUCACCGACGUCAUCAUCAAGGAGAAGCUCGUGGCGUCGAAGGACAUGCGCCGCACGCUCAUGGCCCUCGACACGAUUGCGCGGACGCGAGCGCCGCGCGCCGCGCCGGCGGCGCCGGCACAGACGCUUCCGUCGUACGUCACGGAGCCGCCUCUGAGCAAGAUUGUGCCGAGCCAGAUUACGAAGCUCCUCGUCCCGUGCGACUGCGUCCGGCCUGGCGAGGACGAGGCCUUCCAAAAGGAGGUGGGACAGCUCAUGAAUGAUUGGAUCUCGGUGUGGUCGCAGAAGAGCCACCGCUACGCCGAGAAGCGCAUCCCGUCCGUCGAGUUUGUGAAGACGCUGCAGCAGCGCCGCAUGCUGGACACGGCUCACCUGCAGACCUUCCUGAGCCUGGGCGUUCGCUAUUGUGUGGAGUACUACGCCAACACAAUGCUUGCGAUGGAGCGCGCAGACGGCAACAUCACGAGCGAGACGUUGGUGGGCACGCGGCCUGGCGGCCCGCCAGGCUACCGCACUCCGUACACCGCAAAGCCCUUCGUCAUGUGCGAUGGCUUUGUGGAGCUGGUUAUGGUGCUGCUGCAGUGCUGUUCGCUGCGCAACGAGGCCUCGCACGACUUGCGGGCCGAGACCACGCUUCUACGCCGCGUGCUGGAUGCCGUGACGCGCGUGCUGACGGAGCACCACAACUUCGUUGCCAAGGCUCGCCCUGCUCCUGCGUGGACGCUCGCAGCCGAUGAGCAGUUCGUCCCGCUCUUUCAGCAGCAGCCGUACGUGCGCUUGCUUAGCAACCUCGUAUACUCGCUUCACCGGCUGGAGAUCUCGACGACGCGUGCCAUGUCGACAGAGUUCACGAGUGCCUUCCACACGUUUCUGCGCCGCGUGCACCCGAUGGAGUACCCGGGCUUUGUUUUUGGCUGGCUGGAGAUCCUGUCGCACCGCCACAUCAUCCCACGCUUUAUGAACGUGCAGUCGAUGUGGCCCCACUACGUUGACCUCCUCGCCGGUGCCAUGAUGUUUGUGAAAUUCUUGAUCAAGGGCAACCGCAUCUCCCCGAACGGCCUGGUCUUCUACAAGUCGCUGCUGAAGCUCGUGCUGGUGCUCCUGCACGACUACCCGCGGUUCCUUAUCGCACAGCACUACCCGCUCUGCGAGGCCAUUUCGCUCUCGUGCGUGCAGCUGCUGAACACGGUGCUGUGCUCCUUCCCACCUGACAAGCGCCUGCCGGAGCCGUUCCCCCACGUCGACUCCAACGAUCCGGCGAUGCUGCAGGUGCUCGACACAUCCGUGCAGGAGGCGUGCAUCAAGGCCACCUUCACCUCCUUCAACGUGCAGCCGCAGCUCCUGGCGAAUCUUGAGAUGAUGAUCACGAACGAUGAUGCUCCAGUGCGCGACAGCGUUCUGACAGACGUUCUGAACGACCUGACGCAGGCCUCGGCCAAGCGCAGCCUCAUCAACGCCGUGGUGCAGCACAUGGCCAUCGUGUAUCUGCGCACCCACGAUAACCGCAUCCCCGCGAACUUUGCCAAGUCGAACGUACUCGCGUGCUACCGCUUCUUGUGCAGUCGCCUCAACACGAAGCGUCGCUACUACAUGCUCGGCGCCUGCGCUAACCAGCUGCGUUUCCCGAACAUUCAGACGAACUUCUUUGCGAAUGUGGUGCUGAACCUGUUUCUGCCGUCGCCGACUGUAGACGCGCACACUCAGACCUGUGUGCAGGAGCAGAUCACGCGCGUGCUUGCGGAGAAGACGGUGAUUGUGCAGCCGCAUCCAUGGGGCGUGCUCAACACCUUUGUGGAGCUGAUGCGCGAGCCCAAGUACAAGUUCUGGGAGACCUCCUUCAUUCACUACGCCCCCCUCGACUCCAUGUUCACAAAGCUGCACCACACAGUGCACACGCGGUUGAGCAAGACUGGCAGUGGCGGCGCCGCUGCUCUCGACGGCGCCCGAGCCGAUUCGGCCAAUGCCGCGGCGACCACCUCCGGCAUCGGUGCCACGCCUUCUGCGUAGUUAUAGAGAGGACCUCGUGCGCGACGCACAUGAGGACGCCACGAUGGAAAGCGUGAAAGCGAGCGAAAAGCAGGAAAUUUCGUCUCGCUCGCUUUCUGUUGCUCGUCGUGUUUGCAUGCGUGUGGUGCUGUCUCUUUUUUCUUCGUUGUGUGUUUCCGUUUUCGGGUUUCGCGUCCCGAUCGCGUGUGGACCUCGUCUCUUCCCCUUCCUCCUUCCUCCUGUCCCUUCUGUCUGUGACGUAAUCGUUGUGGGUGCUGGUGUCAUUGCGGAUCUUGUCUUUCCCCCUUUUCUGUUCUCCCCCUUUUCGUUUUUCUUUUUUCGUGCUUAAGUGGUGCGUUGGCGUGGAUAUGGAUGCGCGUGUGUGUGCUGUGUUGUGUUGUGCUGUGCCACUCAAAGGUGUGCCCUUCCCUUCCUUGAUGGCGGUGGUGGCUUCGAUGCCUCUUUAAGCACUUAUUAAGUACGUUUCUCUCUCUAUCGGCGUGCGUGUGUGUUUCUUGGCCUCCUCCCUCCCCUCAUUUCUGUAGGUUCUCCCUCUGUAUUCGCCCUUCCCUCCCCCGCCAACUUUAUAUGGUGAUGCGGCCGAGUCUCUUCUAGGAUGUAGCGGACCCCCGUGCCGGCCGAAAGGAGCGCGCCACGCAGAGAGAGAGAGAUAGAGGUUGAGAGCGGGGGCAUUCUCGUCGCACUCGUCGACUCCCACCCCUUGCACAAAUACCCUUCCCACCUUUUUCUUCAGAGCAACGAC